UGUGGAAUUUUGGACAAUGGGCGCAAGCCUGAUCCAGCCAUGCCGCGUGCGGGAAGAAGGCCUUCGGGUUGUAAACCGCUUUUGUCAGGGAAGAAAUCUUCUGGGUUAAUACCCUGGGGGGAUGACGGUACCUGAAGAAUAAGCACCGGCUAACUACGUGCC
rnacentral:rRNA from 1 species